rnacentral:rRNA from 1 species
UUAUCCAGCAGCCGCGGUAAUACAGAGGGUGCGAGCGUUAAUCGGAUUUACUGGGCGUAAAGCGUGCGUAGGCGGCUUUUUAAGUCGGAUGUGAAAUCCCUGAGCUUAACUUAGGAAUUGCAUUCGAUACUGGGAAGCUAGAGUAUGGGAGAGGAUGGUAGAAUUCCAGGUGUAGCGGUGAAAUGCGUAGAGAUCUGGAGGAAUACCGAUGGCGAAGGCAGCCAUCUGGCCUAAUACUGACGCUGAGGUACGAAAGCAGGGCACAUUU